UGCUCAGUACGGCGAGUGAGCGGCAAAGCUCAAUUUGAAUCUAGUACCUUCGGUGCUCGAGUUGUAAUUUGAAGGUAGUUUUCUGGUGCUGGCCCUUGUCUAUGUUCCUUGGAACAGGACGUCAUAGAGGGUGAGAAUCCCGUCUGAUGGGGUGUCCAGUGCUUUGUAGAUUUCUACCGAAGAGUCGAGUUGUUUGGGAAUGCAGCUCUAAGUGGGUGGUAAAUUCCAUCUAAAGCUAAAUACUGGCGAGAGACCGAUAGCGAACAAGUACAGUGAUGGAAAGAUGAAAAGAACUUUGAAAAGAGAGUGAAAAAGUACGUGAAAUUGUUGAAAGGGAAGGGUAUUGGAUCAGACUUGGUGUCUUGUGAUUAUCUUCCCUUCUUGGGUUGUGCACUCGCAUUUCACUGGGCCAGCAUCGGUUCGGAUGGCAAGAUAAUGGCUUGGGAAUGUGGCACUCUUCGGAGUGUGUUAUAGCCCUUGUU
rnacentral:rRNA from 1 species